ACUCUUACCUGACACGAGAGGCACCAUGAUCACAAAGGCAGUUUCCCAGGACAGGGGUGUGUCAUUGCACUCUGGGCGCGUCAGCCCCUGUGAUUUCCCCAGAUGUGCAGAAUGCGCUGUAUAAUUUGUAACAGUGGGAGACUAGGUUUGCAUUUUCCCUUU